rnacentral:rRNA from 1 species
GUAGUUAGCCGGGGCUUUCUAAUGGGGUACCGUCAUUUUUUCGUCCCCCACAACAGAGGUUUACAAUCCGAAAACCUUCUUCCCUCACGCGGCGUUGCUGGGUCAGGCUUGCGCCCAUUGCCCAAUAUUCCCCACUGCUGCCUCCCGUAGGAGUCUGGACCGUGUCUCAGUUCCAGUGUGGCCGAUCAGCCUCUCAGCUCGGCUACCCAUCGCAGGCUUGGUGGGCUGUUAUCUCACCAACUACCUAAUGGGACGCGAACCCCUCCCUCAGCGGAUUGCUCCUUUGACCUCAUCCCGAUGCCGGGUCGUGGUCUUAUGCGGUAUUAGCACUUGUUUCCAGGUGUUAUCCCCCUCUGAAGGUCAGGUUGUUCACGCGUUACUCACCCGUUCGCCACUAAAAUUUAUCUUCCAUCCGAAAACUUCUGAUAAAUCUCCGUUCGACUUGCAUGUGUUAGGCACGCCGCCAGCGUUCGUCCUGAGCCAUAAUCAAACUCUGA